UACAGAGGUCCCGAGCGUUGUUCGGAUUCAUUGGGCGUAAAGGGCGCGUAGGCGGCCAGCACAAGUCAGUUGUGAAAACUCCGAGCUUAACUCGGAAAGGUCAACUGAUACUGUGCGGCUAGAGUGCGGAAGGGGCAACUGGAAUUCUUGGUGUAGCGGUGAAAUGCGUAGAUAUCAAGAGGAACACCUGCGGCGAAGGCGGGUUGCUGGGCCGACACUGACGCUGAGGCGCGAAAGCCAGGGGAGCGAACGGG
rnacentral:rRNA from 1 species